rnacentral:lncRNA from 1 species
AGGGUGGCGGGGGAGCCUUGGGUUCAAAUUCUGGAACAGGAGGGACAAAGAAGGGCAGGGAAUUGGUGGUGAUGAGUAGGUACCACUUCUGGGGAAGAUGACAGAGCAACUGGACCUGAAAAACUCUCGACUUACCUAAAAUAUCAAUUACAGCCAGUGACAAAGAAUUCACGCCACACAACUCAUUACCAAUCAAACAAACUACUAUGGUUAUCUCAAACCAAACGUCACUUUACUUUUUUGGUAACUUUUCAUUAUAAUAAUAAACUCUAUUCAUGAAUAUGCAGCCUCCAUAAUCUUCUCCCUUGUAACAAACGUGCAGUCCGUUCACAAGCUGUAAAAACAAGCCCAAACCCAAGACAUCACAAGAGGCAAGAGCAGUGGCAGUGAGAAGGGAGCCUGUAAAGGAUGUUUCAAAGGAGGGUCCCAGGCUAUGUGGCCACUGGAUGUAGGCAGUGAGCUGAGUCCAGGCUUUCGGUCUGGGAAGUGGCAGAGGCUGAGACAAUGGCCAAAGAGGAGUUGGAGAGGAAACUAUGCUCGGUUUCACUCCUGCCAGCCCAACAGCCUAUUCCCUGGUGUGAAUCAACUGGUGUUUGAUCAACUUUGAUCGCUGGCUGAAGGCUUUCCCACAAGCAGCACAGUCAUAGGGCUUCACCCCAGUGUGAAUCCUCUGGUGCUGGAUGAGGACCGAACGCUGACUGAAGGCUUUCCCACACUCACUGCAUUUGUAGGGGCGCUCGCCCGUGUGGAUUAUCUGAUGCUGAAUGAGGUGUGAGCUCUGGCUGAAGCCCUUACCACAUUCAACACAGGUGUAGGGUUUUUCCCCAGUAUGAACUUUCUGGUGGUGAAUGAGAUUUGAGCUUCGGUUGAAGGCUUUACCACACUGGUUACAUUCAUGGGGCUUCAGCCCAUUAUGAAUCCUCUGAUGCUGAAUGAGGGUUGAGCUCUGGCUGAAGGUUUUUCCACAUUCAGUACAUUCAUAGGGCUUCUCUCCAGUGUGGACUCGCUGGUGAAGGAUGAGGUUGGAGCUGCGACCAAAGGUCUUCCCACACUCGUGGCAGGCGUAGGGCUUGUCGCCUGUGUGCACGCCCUGGUGCUGAAUGAGGGCUGAGCUGUGGCUGAAGGCCUUCCCACAGACACUGCAUCUGUACGGCUUCUCUCCCGUGUGGAUGAUCUGGUGCUUUCGGAGCACUGAGCUAUAACUAAAGGCUUUUCCACAUACAUUACACACGUGAGGCUUUUCUCCAGUGUGAAUUCUCCGAUGCUGAAUAAGGCUGGAGCUCUGACUAAAUGCUUUCCCACAGUCACUGCACUUAUAGGGCUUCUCUCCAGUGUGAACCCUGUGGUGCUUAAUGAGGUUGGAGACCCGACUGAAGGGCUUGCCACAAUCAUUACACUCAUAAGGCUUCUCUCCAGUGUGGACCCUCUGGUGCUUCCUCAGGUGUGCACUCUGGCUGAAGGCUUUCCCACACUCGCCACACUCAAAAGGCUUCUCUCCUGUGUGAGUCCUGUGGUGUUUGAUGAGGUUUGAGCUUCGCCUGAAGGUUUUCCCACAAUCAUCACACAUAAAGGAAGCCUCCCCAGUGUGGACUAUUUGACGCUGAAUAAGGUCAGGAUUUCCUUGGAAGGUUUUCCCACACUCAUUACAUAUGAGUGGACUUUCAGCUGUGGGAACCCCCUCAUGACCAGUUAGGUCCACACUGUGCUGGAAACUCUGGCCACCCAUGUCAUAUGGAUGUGGCCUCUCUUCUGUAGGGAUUUCCUGACAUGCCAUCAGGUUUGGGCUCAGACUGAAGCGACUGUCAAAACCAUUACAGUCCAGAUCUUUCUCCCCUAAGGGGCCCCUAAGGAGCCCCAUGGCAGCUGGUGUGAAGUCCCCCUCCUGGGAGAGGGACUGUGGCAGCCUCCUGCCUUCGGGGACUCCCCAGUCUCUUUCUGAUACAUCAUCACACAGAU